AACUCCCAAUUCCACCUAUCCUGAAGAGCCCUGAAAGGCUUCCUGAAGCUCCUCUGAAAAGGAAAUGAUGAGAUUGUGGGCGGCCAGGUCAGUUGACCCAAAGGGUCUCGGAGCCAACUUAGGCUGGUCGCCUGGGCUUCAGAGUUGCAGCCGCCAUGGCCAGUCAGUCGCAGGGGAUCCAGCAGCUACUGCGGGCCGAGAAUUGGGCCGCUGAGAAGGUGUCUGAGGCCAGCAAGCGAAAGAACUGGAGGCUGAAGCAGGCCAAAGAAGAGGCUCAGGCUGAAAUUGAACAGUACGGCCUGCAGAGGGAGAAGGAGUUCAAGGCCAAGGAAGCUGCGGCACUGGGCUCUCAUGGCAGUUGCAGCACUGAAGUUGAGAAGGAGACCCAGGAGAAGAUGACCAUCCUCCAGACCUACUUCCGUCAGAACAGAGAUGAAGUCUUGGAUAACCUCUUGGCCUUUGUCUGCGACAUCCGGCCAGAAAUCCAUGAAAACUACCGCAUAAAUGGAUAGGAGGAGGAGAAAGAAGUGCCUAUUCCAUGAAUUGGCAUUUUAGAUGCCUACAUGGAAUAAGAAGCUUUAGCAAAACUUGAGUUACAUUCUUUAUGAAAGGCAUUAAAUUAUUUCUGUAUAUUACAUAGUAGAUCCCUUCAUUUUUUGGAGAGUAGCAAAUCUAGCUUCUUUGUAUAGACCUAGAGCUCAUCUAAAGAUUUCAUCUUUUUACCUCAUAUUUCUUAGAAAUUUAAUAGGUAUACAUUAUCUGUUUUCCUAUGCCUUUUAGCUCAAUUACUAUAUACAUCAAUGUUGACUUUUUCUUUCUUAGAUCUAGUAAAAACAAAACAAAACAAAACAAAACAAUUCUUUGAAGAAAGAAAGGGAUUAAGUAAUUUUUUGCCCUAAUGCUUUCUUGAAGGUCAGGGGCUUUAUCUAUGAAAAAGUAGUAAGUAGUUAUUUGUAACCUGUGUAGCUGCCGCUAACCUGAAAGUAGUCCAUUCUUGCUAAUGGUUAGAACAGUGGAUACUAGUGUAAUUGUUUGGGCUGCUUUUAGUUUCUCUUACUCAAAAUUACUAGAUGAUAGAAUUCAAAAACUUGUUACAUGUUAUUACUUGGUGUACUGAUACACAUUUAAAAGUAAAGACUCUGUCAU